GUGCUCUGCUAGUGGGGGAAUGCGGUGGCUUUAUUGGUGGAGGAGGGCGGUGAAGGGGGAAGGGUGGGUGUGGUGGUGAGGGCUUGGGGCAAUAGGAAUGAGGUUUUGAGGGCGGCUGCGAUUGUCGUUGCUCUGAGGAGGCUGAUGGCGUCGGAGGAAUUGCGGCGGAAGGUGGAGGAGGUGCGAAAUGCGGCUGUAAUUGUGUGUGUGUGUGUGUGUGUGAGAGAGAGAGAGAGAGAGAGAGAGAGAGAGGUGAGUGUACAUGUGAUUUGGCAAUUCCGACAGCCAUGUUGGCAACUCCGACAAUCACGUUGGCAAUUCGAUUGCCACCUCAGAUUAAUUUAGGCAAAAUUGUAGAUGGUGAGAUAAUUGAGAACAAAUUAUAAAUUCAUGUAUUUUUUGGCAAAAAAAAAGGUGA
rnacentral:lncRNA from 1 species